UUUAAGGCUAUGAUUAGGAUGAGUAAAUUUAAUUUUGAAAUUUUAGAGAGAAAGUGUUUGGUGAAAACUUUUAUUUCAAAUAAAUUGAAGCUACCUAGGAGCUUAUAACUUAAAGUGGUGUAGAAUAAGCUACAUAAUUAGGGUGGUACCGCGGAAAUUUAUGUUUUCGUCCCUUGU
rnacentral:ncRNA from 1 species